AAAAAAAAAAAAAGAAAAAAGGCAGGAGUGAUUUUCAUUAGGAGCGGGGGAAUCAGAAUAAUAUUUAAAUGGGAAAAAGUGAAGCCGAACUGUUUUCCAUUUGCACCUUGUAUUAAGGAGGCAGUGGGGUAAGGGGUCUUCUUUAAAGUCUCGACUAGCUGAAUGAAUGGCUCUUGGCACUACAGUCAAGAGUGAAGUCAAGAGCCUGCCUCCCCCUCUGGCUGCGGAGCGGUCGCCGGGUCGGUGGUGCCAGGGGGAGGCUCUCCCGGGCUCCGCUCCGCGCCCGCUGCCCCGACCGCACCCGCACGGCGAGCACCGUGCGUCGGGGAGGUGCACCCUGCACCCGUGAAGGAAGAGAUUCAGUGCCGCGGGCUCAUUUUCGGUACUAGGCAAAGGCCAGUGCAGCGCAGUCGGUCGAGUCCGACAGCUGCCGCCCAGUGAAACCGGCCUCUGCAAACGGGUUGCUUGGGGGUUCCGAAGGGUCUCUGGCUUGUGGCUCUUGAGAGGACCUCGCUAAGAGUCAGCCCCGCCGCUUUGUUCGUAGGCUCUGUCCAAAGGGAAAGCCCCUGGAGCUUCCCCCACGGGGGCAGAGAGAUGCAGAGGGAGGCUCCCUUUCCGUCGGGGAAGGUGCGCUCGAAGCCACCCCACCGUCUUCCCCUCCGUUGGGAGGCUGACGAAAAAAUCACGCCCGCCGGUCCCAGCAGAGAAGGGCAAAGAAAACCUAUGUCCCAUAUGGGACAAAGAAGUACCGACACGUUUUUGGGAUCACUCAGUUCUGCAGCUGUGCACUGAGGGCUGGUCGUAAGUCCUAGUCCAGCACCUUAAGCAUAGGUCCACCUAUUCCUACCAAAAGGUCCCUUUGACCUCAAAUAACACUUUAUGAGGAUGGAAUUUUAUUUUAAGGUUGUCUUAAGGCAUUCUUUCAGUAUGAACCAUAGCGUCUCAGAGUGAAUAACAGAUAAUCAUUUUCCUUCAGUCUCUAAUCGGCACCAAAUAUAAGAAACUAUGAUCUAGUUUCAAGGUGGUUUUCUGGCAAGAACAAUCUAGGGUAACUUUCCUAUGGAGAAGAACGUAGAAAGUAGGUUGGAAAUAAAAGAGACAUUCUGCAUUAUUAUUAUUUUCCCUUCAGAGCACCUUUUAAUGUAGCGUCCCACACCAGCCUUCCCAGCGCAGCGUCCCCUCCCCAGUGGGGACAGUGCCGUGGCACGCAGCCGGCAGUACCUCCGCUGUCGGAGCUCCGCCGCGGGGUCCUAGCCAGGGGCGUGCUGUGGGGCAGAGCAGGGGCUGCCUCGGCAGCAGGUUAGCGCUGAGGAUGCUGAACCACCCUCCCCGGCCGGCUCUCACUGUACGUCCCCUCCACGCCUGCGCCCUGCCCCCCGAAGCCCCCGCCCCUGCCUUGCUGGGGAACGCCGGGCUCGGAAGCCUUCGUUCUCCGUCACUGACAGGCAUAUUCACUUUGUUCUGGUGUUCCCCACAUUGGAGACCCCACCUUCCUGUCCCGGCACAACAGGAUCUGCGGGGGUCGCUCGCUCCCUGGCAGGACUUUCGGGUGGCACUGGGGAGGAAACCGUAAAAGCCGCAUUGUCAAACUUCCACUCUUUGGAGGGUUUUCAGGCUUUUUCUCUGCUACCCAUCACUACUCUCCUGGAGGAGGGUGUCCCUUCAACUCCAGCUGCCACUUCCAAAAACCACAACAACCUCUACCUUUCGGAGUAGGAACGAAUGAAGUUGUGCUCUCCCAGCUGAGAAUUUACACCUUAAAGAGCAAAUCUGUUGCGGCCGGUCCGGUCGCCCCUCUCCGCCCCUUGAAGAGCAGCAUCCCUCCUGUCCUCCAGCGCCCGGCUUUAGUCUUGGGAAAGGCAGACUUCCUAAGGGGCGUCACGAAGCUCUUUACCCCCCCAGAGCCAAGACGGGGGGGGGGGAGGGGGGGCUCCGAGGCUGCUGGGACUUUUUUGCAAGAUUUCAGUUAAUCACUCACAAUAAACAGACUCUCAUCUCAUAAGGGAAAACAGCGGCCAUAUAGAAAGACAAAUAUUUUAUUUAAGCUAUUUCAGUCUUAGAGACUGAAGUCUCCGAACCUGACCGAGAGCCACUCCCAUCACCAUGGGUUUGUAUUUGCUGAGGAAACGUAGCACAACACAAACGUGUUUUGCUGUGCAGCUUUAUAGAAAAUUGCCUGCAGCUCGACAGUAAUCAUCUGCACACCCGCACCCCGUGAAAGCAGAGGUAAUGCGUUCAAAAGUAUAAUAUUUGCAAGAGAGAGCAGAUGGUGCUCCCUUGGGUGCAAUUUCAGGAGAAGCCUUGCAUUCCGCACUUCUCGAGGUCUGUUUUAGCCACACAGGUUUAAUGCUACAAGAGCUUUUUUUUUUUUUUUUUUGCUGUGGAGUCACAAGCACAGCGUAAGAUUUUGCUGGCACGAAUCAUGACCCUUCCCGCUUUGAACAAGACGGAAGGACACAAGCGGAGUAGACCGGUGAUUAAAGGAGAGCCUAUGCAAUUCUUUUAUGACACUCCGUGUGCCCACUGAAGCCAGUUACCGAGCUAGAUCGGUUUGUAGUAGGAUGGGAACUGCUGGAGUUGCAUUAAGGCGUGUUUCUCUCACAGUGCAGCAGCACGGUUAGAAUAUCCAUAAGCACGGAGCCCUCUGGACGUCCUGGAUGCAGGACAAGCGCCCGGGAGUGCUCGUGCGCCUCUCGGCUCCCACACCCGGGCAGGUACUGACUCGCUGCUGUGUUUUCUCGGCCCGAGGAGGCACAACGAUCCCGUUUGCAGCCUUUCGGACUCUUGAGCUACUGGGCUUUAAACCUGCCGCUCGGCCAGAGAAAGUCGGAUGAAGGCAGAGGAGGAACAGGGGAGGGACCCCCGCUCUCCGCCAGCCCACCGGGCACAGGGCGACGGCGCUGCCCAGCGUAGCCCCGUCCUUCGUCUUCGGCCCUGCGGCAAAACAUCGCCGCGCCCACGAGGAGCUUCCCACGGGAGACGUGCUGCGCAGCGCCCAGGGCUUCUGCCGGGGGCCGUGCUCUGCUCGCAGCCGGGGGCUCCGGCUGGCCACGGGGCCGGCGCAUGCGGUGGGACCUCCCCGCUCCCUCCACGCCCCGCUGCGGCGGAGACGAGAGGGGUGGGGAAGGGGCAAAGAACUGUGAGGACAGAUUCGCUACGGGAAUGAGGGUCUUGGAGGAAGCCUCUUGACAUCACCCAAGGAUCGCCGUUAGCAGCGGCUGGCACGCAAAUACUGGUACCCGGGAUCGCAGAAGGUUCCUGUGCGAGAGCAUCUUUCCGCUAGACAUGAAGGAAUAUCAGCAGGCAGUGGAUGGUGAGAAACCAAAAUUGCACUGCCAGGGAGAUCUGCAGAAAAAGAAUCUCUGUUUUUUUGGCACAUGAACAAAACCCUCGGCAAUAACGGCGCCGACAGGAAGGGGAGCUGGACUCACCAGCCCCCGGCCCCCACCGAGGACGGCUGGCGUAGCGCAACGUGGGCGACCCACGCAGCCAGUGGGAGCUGCAUCCCCGCAGGAUGGCAGGGAGAAGCCUCUCAGCGGCUCGCAAACCGAUACCGCGUCGGUAAGAGAUGGCAGCUCCUCAUGCCAAAGGGAAGCCUCGGCGGGUGGCACGGGAUCCACUCCAGGGGAAGUGGUCCAGGAAGAGCCGAGGAGAGCCAGGGUUUGGUACCCUUGAGAUGUCAUACAGCUCCUAACGCUUCUUAUCCUAAUGAAGCAGGACACCAUUUUCCCAAAGGAUUGAAGACAGCUGAAUCCCUCACAGAACAGUGGCUUGAAUCAGUAUCAGAGGAGGAUUUCACUGGGAACUUUGUGCUAAUUUAGAAUUAGCACAAUACCAAAUAUAGCAAGAAGGUUUUUAUAAUCAGUUUAAUUUGAUGCAAUUUAAAGAGAAAGAAGCAUUGAAUGGUGCAGCAAAUAAAGUCUACUUUUCAAGGUGGUCACUACAUUCCCUCCUUGUCUCAUACACACCCAAAGUAAUUCAGUACUGUCCUCAGUGGAAUUGGUUGACCAUCUCAAAUAAUUCCCACACAUUACUCCAAUUACUGCAAGCUUGAUUCAGGAAACAGAAGAAAAGGAGCUAACCCUGCUGUUCCAUCUUUAGAGUAAAAAGAAACUAUUAGAUACAAAUACUCCAGGUCCUGCUAAAGCAUUUAUAAACAUGGGAGCACUAAGAUGCUUAGAAUGGCAGUGGGAGGAGGGGGAAAAGUAUAAAAUAUUUAUUCCUCUAAGCAUUUAAAAAACCUUAGGACCUUAAAGUUUAUUACUGUUUGUGAUUUGCAUACAUAAUAAAUGCUACGUCCCCCA